rnacentral:rRNA from 1 species
GACGAACGCUGGCGGCGUGCUUAACACAUGCAAGUCGAACGAUGAAGCCGGAGCUUGCUCUGGUGAAUUAGUGGCGAACGGGUGAGUAACACGUGAGUAACCUGCCCUUGACUCUGGGAUAACUGCUAGAAAUGGUAGCUAAUACCGGAUACGACCCUCGGAGGCAUCUCCAGGGGGUGGAAAGAAUUUCGGUCAAGGAUGGACUCGCGGCCUAUCAGCUAGUUGGUGAGGUAACGGCUCACCAAGGCGACGACGGGUAGCCGGCCUGAGAGGGUGGCCGGCCACCCUGGGAGUGGGACACGGCCCAGACUCCUACGGGCGGCAGCAGUGGGGAAUAUUGCACAAUGGGCGCAAGCCUGAUGCAGCAGCGCCGCGUGAGGGAUGACGGCCUUCGGGUUGUAAACCUCUUUUAGUAGGGAAGAAGCGAAAGUGACGGUACCUGCAGAAAAAGCACCGGCUAACUACGUGCCAGCCGCCGCGGUAA